rnacentral:rRNA from 1 species
GAUGAACGCUGGCGGCGUGCCUAAUACAUGCAAGUCGAGCGAACAGACGAGGAGCUUGCUCCUUUGACGUUAGCGGCGGACGGGUGAGUAACACGUAGGUAACCUACCUAUAAGACUGGGAUAACUUCGGGAAACCGGAGCUAAUACCGGAUAAUAUUUCGAACCGCAUGGUUCGAUAGUGAAAGAUGGCUUUGCUAUCACUUAUAGAUGGACCUGCGCCGUAUUAGCUAGUUGGUAAGGUAACGGCUUACCAAGGCAACGAUACGUAGCCGACCUGAGAGGGUGAUCGGCCACCAUGGAACUGAGACACGGUCCAGACUCCUACGGGAGGCAGCAGUAGGGAAUCUUCCGCAAUGGGCGAAAGCCUGACGGAGCAACGCCGCGUGAGUGAUGAAGGUCUUCGGAUCGUAAAACUCUGUUAUUAGGGAAGAACGAACGUGUAAGUAACUGUGCACGUCUUGACGGUACCUAAUCAGAAAGCCACGGCUAACUACGUG